ACCUACACCACAGCUCACAGCAACACUGAAUCCUUAACCCACUGAGCAAGGCCAGGGAUCAAACCUGCAACUUCAUGGUUCCUAGUCGGAUUUGUUAACCACUGAGCCAUAAUGGGAACUCUGUAGUCAGAUUUGUUUCUGAUGCACAACAGGAACUCCCAUCACAGCAUUUGUGAGAGGGCCACAUCUCCCAUGGGCUUCUCCCUACCAAUGAUGGAAUACGGCAGGGAGACUACGGCAGACCAUUCCUGGAAGGUAUGAGACUCCGCCAACUGACGUUGGCUCAAAGCCUUGGCCCACUCCCCUCCUCCAGCUCUGCUGAAUUUCACCUAGACUGCCCUGCCAUCCAAGACAUGUCUACCACCCUUCCUUCCCUUUCUUCCUCACUCGGGGUUAGACAUGGGCUGUGGUCUAGUGACUCUCCCAGCCUUUACCAGCUCCCCUUCAUUUCCUCUUCCACAGGCAUCUUCCAUUCAUUCUGGUCUUGGCAUCUGCUUCUUGGAGGGCCUGGACUAACAUAGUGAGGAUCAUAAUAGCACCUCUGUCUCACUGAGUCAUUGAAAGGAUAAAUGAGUUAAUUUGUUGACUGUGCUUAUAAUCAAGCUUGACAAAUGCUGAUAAUUCAAUCCAGUUCAGCUAUUAAAGACAGACCAGAUCUUACAUUUCUAGUGUCAUAGCAGGUUAGAUAAUCCCCAAACCUUCCAUUAUUAAAUACCAUAAGAUAUGAUGAAAUAUAGAAAAUAGUCUUCUACCUACCUAGCUGAGCUUAUAAAAAAUAUAAACCCUAUGGGCAAAAUAGAAAGGGACCUAAAAACCAGAGCAGUAGUAUUGAGUCCACUUUGCAGCUGGCCCCAGGAAACUGGAGGAAGCCUUUGAACAUAAAGCUGAGGAUUUUCAAAGAAUUUUAGAAAAAGGGUGGGGACUGCAAGUCAAGCCAUAGCAAUGAGAAAUAUCAAGGAAGCUUGUCCAUUGUUAUUUAUAUCUGGAUAAAGGGAAAAGGUCCCCCAAGACACCUGCCCUCACUGAAGGCAGAGUUUGGCAUUCCUACCACUUUUGUGGCUGAGUCCCAAGCUUAUAAUAUCUGUGACAAAGUGAAUACAAGUCCUCUCUGGAGGGACACACUCUCAGCUAAGGAUGCUCAGGGUUCUCGUCGACACAGCCCUGCUGAAGAUGAACUCACAAUCCAAAAUUCCAGAACAAGGAAAUAACCCCCCACGAGUGAGCGUUAGCAAUAUGAGGAGCAGAAUUAGCUUUCCAACAAUUUAAGGCUGUUAUUGUAAACAUAUUUAUAUGCUCUGGCUGGUAGAUAUAGUAAUAAUGACAAAGAAUGGAAUUUUUAAAAACACAAGGAAAGAUUGAGGUUCUCACAAAGAACCAAAUAAAAGUUUUAAAGACUCUCCUAUCUGAGAAGCUCUAGAAAGCAGAGCCUGAGGCAAGGAUUAGGAUGCUGAUUCUUUAUUUGGAGAUAAGCCCGUUGAGAUGAAGGGAAGGAAGAAAAGGGGAAGUGGGGCAAAGAAAGACGUAAAGCAAGGUGAUAGAUGCAUUACAUUGCUGGCCACUGUUUGAGAAGCCACGAAGGGACACCUGGUCACUUAACAGGCAUUUUGCCUAGCAUCCAGGGCUUUUCUGGAAAGUUUUUGCAAAGAAACAAACACCACCUCUGAUUGGAAGAAUUUAUUUGCCCAGCUUCCUCCCUUUCCCAUUUCCCAUUGCUCACAUUCUACUCCAGAGAGUGCAUUGUUCUGUGGUGCACUGUUCAUCCUUUGAUGCCACCAGGAAACCAGAUCCCCUGUCUAGAAGUAAAAGAGCAAUUUGAUGCAGACACCCUGGCCUGUGGAAGGUGAAGAAAGGCAAUCCCAGGCCUCCAGCCAGCCUGGAAGCUCAGCAGAAGCAGCAGAGUUCCUGCACACUUGAGCUGGAAGAACUUGGAGAAUAGGGAGGCAGUUUGACUCUGAGGAGGUGAACAAGGUUAGAUUCUGAUGUGAAAUUAGAAGUAGAGUCAUUGAAAUUAAGAAAUACCCCCAGUGCAUACACAGUAUAUUGUAUCCAGAUGAAGACAAAACUGAGGAUUGGAUAACUUAAAUUAUACCUCUAGAAGUUCCUGCUGCGGCUCAGUGGCAAUGAAUCUGACUAGUAUCCAUGAGGAUGCAGGUUUGAUCCCUGGCCCCACUCAGCAGGUUAAGGAUCCAGCAUUGCCGUGAGCUGUGGUGUAGGUUGCAGACAUGGCUUGGAUCUGGUGUUACUCUGGCUGUGGUGUACGCUGGCAGCUGUAGCUCUGAUUUGACCCCUAGCC
ensembl:lncRNA